UACGAAGGGGGCUAGCGUUGCUCGGAAUUACUGGGCGUAAAGCGCACGUAGGCGGCUUUCUAAGUCGGGGGUGAAAUCCUGGAGCUCAACUCCAGAACUGCCUUUGAUACUGGCAACCUUGAGUCCGGGAGAGGUGAGUGGAACUGCGAGUGUAGAGGUGAAAUUCGUAGAUAUUGGGAAGAACACCGGUGGCGAAGGCGGCGACCUGGUCCAUAACUGACGCUGAGGCGCGAAAGCGUGGGGAGCAAACAGG
rnacentral:rRNA from 1 species